rnacentral:pre_miRNA from 1 species
ACAAGGCAAGAUGUUGGCAUAGCUGAACAUGCAAAGGUUCACGGCUUCCACAACGAUGAUCGUUGCCGAAUUUAAUGAACCGUUGAUAAAAAGAGAUUUCAGCGGUGCCACAUUAGGCCAUAUC